GGCUAAAUCACGUUGAAACACUAGUUCCUGCAUGAUCACCAAAGUUAAGCAAUAUUGAGACUAGCCAGUACUUAGAUGGGUGACCAUUUGGGAAUACUUGGUGCUGUAAG